AAUCUUUCCUACAGACAAGAUCUAAAUGAAAUUUUGGCUAAAGUCGAAAUUGUAAUGCAAUCUUUCUAAAAUAAAUCGUGAAAUAGCAAAGGGCUUCAAAGUACAAAUUUUCAAGCGUCAAAAACCAAAUUUUACCCAAAAAAUGUUCAAAAUGACGUGAAAUCGUCACAUCUGGCAGCAUUGGGAACGCUGAAAUUUUUUUGUCGAUGUUCUCCAAAGAUUAAAUUGGUCAUCGAAAUGAAAAAAGUUGGCUGUUUCCUCUAAUUUUGUUGAUGUUUCUAUCUAAAAUAAGAUCGCUAUUUCCAAAUCCGCUCAUGGCCUGGCUCAAUUCGGUGCAUACAACCGGAUUUGAAAGGAUACAGCACUGUAUCAACCCUAAAAUAACUUUCUUGGAUGAAUCUUCUUUUGUACUUACGGAUUAUUGGCAUCAGGAUUAGGUACCUGCAUCCAAUUUUGGAAGUGUCUCAUACUCUCCGCUAUACAAUCACGAUGGCCCAAAUGGCAAGCCAUAUUGAGAAUUUCACCACGAAUAAAGUGCUCCAGCAUAUUAUUCUCAUUACGGGAUUCCACAAAGCCCAAUUGGUUGUAAAGGUUGUCCAGCAGUUUCAAAAGGUAGCUCUAAAUUAAACCAAUAAAAGUUUUUGAAAUCAUAA